rnacentral:rRNA from 1 species
AGGACGAACGCUGGCGGCGUGCUUAACACAUGCAAGUCGAGCGAGGCUUCUCCUUCGGGAGAUGUCCUAGCGGCGAACGGGUGAGUAACACGUGGGCAACCUGCCUCUAGCUCUGGGAUAACUCCGGGAAACCGGGGCUAAUACCGGAUACGACCUCGAGCGGCAUCUAUCGAGGUGGAAAGUUUUUCGGCUAGAGAUGGGCCCGCGGCCUAUCAGCUUGUUGGUGAGGUAACGGCCCACCAAGGCGACG